GACGUAGGUGGCGAACGUUAUCCGGAAUUAUUGGGCGUAAAGGAUGCGUAGGCGGCUUUGUAAGUUAGAGGUGAAAGCCCAGGGCUUAACCCUGGAAUUGCCUUUAAGACUGCAUCGCUAGAAUCGUGGAGAGGUGAGUGGAAUUCCGAGUGUAGAGGUGAAAUUCGUAGAUAUUCGGAAGAACACCAGUGGCGAAGGCGACUCACUGGACACGUAUUGACGCUGAGGUGCGAAAGCGUGGGGAGCAAACAGG
rnacentral:rRNA from 1 species